UCCUACGGGGGGCAGCAGUGAGGAAUAUUGGUCAAUGGGCGAGAGCCUGAACCAGCCAAGUCGCGUGAAGGAUGACGGCCCUACGGGUUGUAAACUUGUUUUGUCAGGGAGCAAUUGGGUCCACGCGUGGGCUUAGCGAGAGUACCUGAAGAAAAAGCAUCGGCUAACUCCGUGCCAGCAGCCGCGGUAAUACGGAGGAUGAGAGCGUUAUCCGGAGUUAUUGGGUUUAAAGGGUGCGUAGGCGGAAUAUCAAGACAGCGGUAAAAAUUCGGGGCUCAACCCCGUCGGGCCGUUGAC
rnacentral:rRNA from 1 species